rnacentral:rRNA from 1 species
UACGUAGGGUGCAAGCGUUGUCCGGAAUUAUUGGGCGUAAAGAGCUCGUAGGCGGUCUGUUACGUCUGAUGUGAAAACCCGGGGCUUAACCCUGGGCUUGCAGUGGAUACGGGCAGACUAGAGGCAGGUAGGGGAGAAUGGAAUUCCCGGUGUAGCGGUGAAAUGCGCAGAUAUCGGGAGGAACACCGGUGGCGAAGGCGGUUCUCUGGGCCUGACCUGACGCUGAGGAGCGAAAGCGUGGGGAGCGAACAGG